AUUGAACGCUGGCGGCAGGCCUAACACAUGCAAGUCGAACGGUAACACAAAAAAGCCUGCUGCUUUGCUGACGCGAGUCGCACAGGGGUGAAAUAUACGGCAGAAUCUCCGUUGGCGUGGGGUAACUACUGGGAAAGGUUGCUCAAACAGCGCAACGUCCCAAGGCCAAAAAGCAGGACCUCCGCGCCCCUUGCCCUCUGAUAUGCACAGAUGGGAUUAGCUAGUAGGUGGGGUAACGGCUCACCUAGGCGACGAUCCCUAGCUGGUCUGAGAGGAUGACCAGCCACACUGGAACUGAGACACGGUCCAGACUCCUACGGGAGGCAGCAGUGGGGAAUAUUGCACAAUGGGCGCAAGCCUGAUGCAGCCAUGCCGCGUGUAUGAAGAAGGCCUUCGGGUUGUAAAGUACUUUCAGCGGGGAGGAAGGGAGUAAAGUUAAUACCUUUGCUCAUUGACGUUACCCGCAGAAGAAGCACCGGCUAACUCCGUG
rnacentral:rRNA from 1 species